CCUUGGCUUUCAAGACAGUUGAACCUCUAUAUUGUAUACGCAGAUUUAUUUUUUCGCGCGAACUUUUUGUUUUGGAUCGACGCACAAAGUGUGGAUGAAAACAAGAAGGAAAAAGCUUCAUUUUAGAGGAAUAUGAUGAGCUCAUAGCCCCGCAAACUGAAGCAUUCAAAAGAGAAAUAUWUCCCAAGAAAGUGAGAAGGUUACAUAAUUUGAUCUCUAGAGGCGCCUGAGCUACAAUGGCGAUUGGGCCCAKGUCCGCUGAAAAAUCCAAACUCCCUAAAACGGAGAAAAACUCUGAGGUGUAUCAUCCGACAAAAAKUACGAAUCAGGAAGCUAAGAACUGUAAAAUAAUUGGUAAAAUGCUGGCUAUGAUUGGAGAUGAAGUGAACACUCAAGCGUCAAUUCAGACAAGUAUAGCCAGCGCCUUCAAGACUGCCGGACCUCUAACAAAAGUAUUCAAAUCUGUAAAUGCUGAUGCUCUAAGGUGGAGCAAUAAAUAGGCUGUUAUCACUACGCGUGGGAGGACUCAAGUAUAUGUACAAGUAUAAAAGGAAAAAAAAAAGUUUGGAGACGACAUAUCAACAGAUCCUCAGGACGCGAAUGAUUUUUCACACUAUUGACGGAAUUAAUUCUUUUUUUGUUAUUGAAAAAGAAGUCAACAAAUGUAUAAUUCAAAGUCCUUUUCGUCAGCUCUGACAUGAUUGCUUGUAAAUAGCCUCUAUCAGCUGAUAUUAUGCUGUUUUUGGAGAUGGUUGCCAAUGGUUUCAAUUGUUGUUGGUCACUCUACCGGAACGUUUAAACAAUGAACAAAGGAAAGACUUAUUUUUGCGCGAAUCAAUGGCUCCGUCGUGCGCACUYGAAUCAGCCGUUCCUCAUUGUCGGGAAACAUAUGCUUGUAGAAAAGCCAUGCUAAGUUAUUUUGAAUAGCUCUUCCGCUUGUAUAUAGAAAUAAUACAUUAUUGUAUAUAGACUAUUAAGGAAAAAUCUUAAAAUACUUGAAAUAAAAUGUACAAAAUACGCUAAA